rnacentral:rRNA from 1 species
UACGUAGGGUGCGAGCGUUGUCCGGAAUACUGGGCGUAAAGCGUGCGCAGGCGGUGAUGUAAGACAGUUGUGAAAUCCCCGGGCUCAACCUGGGAACUGCAUCUGUGACUGCAUCGCUGGAGUGCGGCAGAGGGGGAUGGAAUUCCGCGUGUAGCAGUGAAAUGCGUAGAUAUGCGGAGGAACACCGAUGGCGAAGGCAACUCCCCUGGCCUGCACUGGACUCCAGUGCACAAAGCGCUGGGAGCGAACAGG